rnacentral:rRNA from 1 species
CAGCCGCCGCGGGAAUACGUAGGGUGCGAGCGUUAAUCGGAAUUACUGGGCGUAAAGCGUGCGCAGGCGGCUUUUUAAGUCGGAUGUGAAAUCCCUGAGCUUAACUUAGGAAUUGCAUUCGAUACUGGGAAGCUAGAGUAUGGGAGAGGAUGGUAGAAUUCCAGGUGUAGCGGUGAAAUGCGUAGAGAUCUGGAGGAAUACCGAUGGCGAAGGCAGCCAUCUGGCCUAAUACUGACGCUGAGGUACGAAAGCAUGGGGAGCAAACAGGAUUAGAUACCCCUGUAGUCCCUGUCUCUUAUAC